rnacentral:rRNA from 1 species
UGGGGAAUAUUGCACAAUGGGCGCAAGCCUGAUGCCGCCAUGCCGCGUGUAUGAAGAAGGCCUUCGGGUUGUAAAGUACUUUCAGCGGGGAGGAAGGGAGUAAAGUUAAUACCUUUGCUCAUUGACGUUACCCGCAGAAGAAGCACCGGCUAACUCCGUGCCAGCAGCCGCGGUAAUACGGAGGGUGCAAGCGUUAAUCGGAAUUACUGGGCGUAAAGCGCACGCAGGCGGUUUGUUAAGUCAGAUGUGAAAUCCCCGGGCUCAACCUGGGAACUGCAUCUGAGACUGGCAAGCUUGAGUCUCGUAGAGGGGGGUAGAAUUCCAGGUGUAGCGGUGAAAUGCGUAGAGAUCUGGAGGAAUACCGGUGGGGAAGGCGGCCCCCUGGACGAAGACUGACGCUCAGGUGCGAAAGCGGGGGGAGCAAACAGG